rnacentral:rRNA from 1 species
GACGAACGCUGGCGGCGUGCUUAACACAUGCAAGUCGAACGGAGUGGCGAACGGGUGAGUAACACGUGGGUGAUCUGCCUUGCACUUCGGGAUAAGCUUGGGAAACUGGGUCUAAUACCGGAUAGUGCAAGAUGAGCUCGCGGCCUAUCAGCUUGUUGGUGGGGUAAUGGCCUACCAAGGCGUCGACGGGUAGCCGGCCUGAGAGGGUGUACGGCCACAAUGGGACUGAGAGACGGACCAGGCGGCUACGGGAGGCAGGAGGGGGGAAUAUGGCGCAAUGGGAGGAAGCCUGAGGCGGCGACGGCGCGGGGGGGAUGAAGGCCUUCGAGUUGUAAACUCCUUUCGACAGGGACGCGGUACCUGUAGAAGAAGCACCGGCUAACUACGUGCCAGCAGCCGCGGUAAUUC